ensembl:snRNA U6 U6 spliceosomal RNA
GUACUAGCUUUGGCAGCACAUAUACUAAAUUGGAAUGAUACAGAAAAGAUUAGCAUGGCCCCUGUACAAGGAUGGCAUGGAAAUUUGUAAAACAUUGUUGGUCAAAGGUUUU